rnacentral:rRNA from 1 species
GGUGGGCAGUUUGGGUGGGGCGCCACGCGCUCGAAAACCUAACAAGCGUGCCCAAAGGUCAGCUUAGGUGGUUCAGCACUCCACCGUUAACUGUAAGGGGAAAAGCUGGCUUGACGUGGAUCGGCACAAUAACGAUCGACGAUGCGAAAGCAGGGCCUAACGAACCUACCAGCCUCAUUUAUGGGGGCGGUAGAUAACAGAAAAGUUACCUCGGGGAUAAUUGAGUUGUCACCAGCAAGAGCUCACAUCGACCUGGUGGCUUGCUACUUCGAUGUCGUCUCUUCCUAUCCUGGGUCUGCAGCAGGACCCAAGGGUGGGGUUGUUCGCCCAUUAAAAGGGAUCGUGAGAUGGGUUUAGACCGUCGUGAGACAGGUUUGUUGCUUGGUGGUGGAAGCGUUGUUGCUUGAUGGAAGGGGUCCUUCAGUACGAGAGGAACGAGGGCUCGGGGCCACUAGUUUACCAGUUGUCUGACAAGGCAAUGCUGGGUAGCCACGCCCUGAUGGAUAAGAGCUGAAAGCAUCUAAGCUCGAAGCCACCCCAAAGACGAAACACCUCAGAACGCUCGUAAAAGACGAGAUGAUAGACUGCGGAUGUAAGCAUGAAGCUUCGGCGACGUGUUCAGUCCAGCAGCACUAAUGUUCGAGCAUCUUUUUUU